GAUUCCUACGGGGCGCAGCAGUGGGGAAUAUUGGGCAAUGGGGGCAACCCUGACCCAGCAACGCCGCGUGAAGGAAGAAGGCUUUCGGGUUGUAAACUUCUUUGACGAGGGACGAAAAAAAUGACGGUACCUCGAAAACAAGCCACGGCUAACUACGUGCCAGCAGCCGCGGUAAUACGUAGGGGGCAAGCGUUAUCCGGAUUUACUGGGUGUAAAGGGAGCGUAGACGGAGGAGCAAGUCUGAUGUGAAAAUCCGGGGCCCAACCCCGGAACUGCAUUGGAAACUGUUUAUCUAGAGUGUCGGA
rnacentral:rRNA from 1 species